GUAGGGCGCGAGCGUUGUCCGGAAUUAUUGGGCGUAAAGAGCUCGUAGGCGGCUGGUCGCGUCUGUCGUGAAAUCCUCUGGCUUAACUGGGGGCUUGCGGUGGGUACGGGCCGGCUUGAGUGCGGUAGGGGAGACUGGAACUCCUGGUGUAGCGGUGGAAUGCGCAGAUAUCAGGAAGAACACCGGUGGCGAAGGCGGGUCUCUGGGCCGUUACUGACGCUGAGGAGCGAAAGCGUGGGGAGCGAACAGGAUUAGAUACCCUGGUAGUCCACGCCGUAAACGUUGGGCACUAGGUGUGGGGGGCCUUUUCCGGGUCUUCCGCGCCGUAGCUAACGCAUUAAGUGCCCCGCCUGGGGAGUACGGCCGCAAGGCU
rnacentral:rRNA from 1 species